GGAAUGAUUCCUGAUAUAAGGACCACUUAAUGACUUUUCUCAAGGAAUUCAUAAAAAGAAUACUGUGGAAUGAAUUUAACAAGAUUAAGUGAUUUUCAUUCGUUGGUAUUAGAAUGUGAAGGCAAAGCAACUCAAAGCAGAAAUUUAACCAAAUGGGAAGGACAUAUGCUGGUUUAAAUCUCUUCUGUGAAACUGUAAAGAGAAAUAAAGAAGUAUGAGGUGAUGCAAAA